rnacentral:tRNA from 1 species
GAAGAGAUGGCUGAGUGGUUGAAGGCGGUAGACUGUAAAUCUAUUUACAAUUCUGUGUAGUCGUAGGUUCGAAUCCUACUCUCUUCA